AGGGGAUGGGGGAUCGCAGGGGUGGCCUGGGGCAGUCUGGGCAAAUCUGGCCCCUCUGCCCCUUCCAG
ensembl:miRNA